GAGAGGACUCGGAGCCCAGCCACCUGGACUUUCCCAGGAGAAGCACAGGUUUAGAUGGCAAGGACGUCCUGGUCCUUCU
ensembl:miRNA Mir5135 microRNA 5135